GACGAACGCUGGCGGCGUGCUUAACACAUGCAAGUCGAACGGAAAGGCCCUGCUUUUGUGGGGUGCUCGAGUGGCGAACGGGUGAGUAACACGUGAGUAACCUGCCCUUGACUUUGGGAUAACUUCAGGAAACUGGGGCUAAUACCGGAUAGGAGCUCCUGCUGCAUGGUGGGGGUUGGAAAGUUUCGGCGGUUGGGGAUGGACUCGCGGCUUAUCAGCUUGUUGGUGGGGUAGUGGCUUACCAAGGCUUUGACGGGUAGCCGGCCUGAGAGGGUGACCGGCCACAUUGGGACUGAGAAACGGCCCAGACUCCUACGGGAGGCAGCAGUGGGGAAUAUUGCACAAUGGGCGGAAGCCUGAUGCAGCAACGCCGCGUGCGGGAUGACGGCCUUCGGGGUGUAAACCGCUUUCGCCUGUGACGAAGCGUGAGUGGCGGUAAUGGGUAAAGAAGCACCGGCUAAAUACGUG
rnacentral:rRNA from 1 species